UGGGGGAAUUUUGGACAAUGGGCGAAAGCCUGAUCCAGCAAUGCCGCGUGUGUGAAGAAGGCCUUCGGGUUGUAAAGCACUUUUGUCCGGAAAGAAAUCCUCUGGGUUAAUACCUCGGGGGGAUGACGGUACCGGAAGAAUAAGCACCGGCUAACUACGUGCCAGCAGCCGCGGUAAUACGUAGGGUGCAAGCGUUAAUCGGAAUUACUGGGCGUAAAGCGUGCGCAGGCGGUUUUGUAAGACGGAUGUGAAAUCCCCGGGCUUAACCUGGGAACUGCAUUCGUGACUGCAAGGCUAGAGUAUGGCAGAGGGGGGUAGAAUUCCACGUGUAGCAGUGAAAUGCGUAGAGAUGUGGAGGAAUACCGAUGGCGAAGGCAGCCCCCUGGGCCAAUACUGACGCUCAUGCACGAAAGCGUGGGGAGCAAACAGGAUUAGAUACCCCUGGUAGUCCACGCCCUAAACGAUGUCAACUAGUUGUUAGGGAUUCAUUUCCUUAGUAACGUAGCUAACGCGUGAAGUUGACCGCCUGGGGAGU
rnacentral:rRNA from 1 species